CCUGUUUACACACAAACACACCACAGCUGCACCCACUUGCAUUACCCACCCCAACCCAAACACAUGCACCGCCAUCCCGCAUGCAAAAGGCACAACUCAAGACAUGCCCCCUAUCCCUCCUGCACACUUCGCCCUCCCCACCCACACCUAGCACCCAACGCAGCACCACACCCACCCUCACCUCCCCCUGCACACUCCCACCUCCGCCCACCUCCUUCAUACACAUUCUCACCCCCACCCCGACCCGCUCUUCCAAGCACACUUUAACACCACAGCCUGCCGUUCUCGAAAAGAGCCGCGCAGCAGCAGGCGGGGAAGCUGCGAGGCGCUGGGGUCAGCCUGUUCUCGGAGGUACCCGCGAGCUGAAUCAGCCCCGCCAGCGCCAGCCUCGGAGAUGCUAACCGGGUCGCUUUGUCUGCAAGGGUAAAUUCGGGAGCGUCCAGCAACCCAGGACUUCUGAAGAUAAAGAAGGAACAAAGCAGCAGGCCCGGGAGGAGGCUCUAGGAUGGGCCAUUCAGAAAUACCAACCAAGCACUUGGAAUGUAAGAGAUCCACCUCCCCUUCAGCCUCAUCGCCAAAGUCCAAACCCUCCUUAGAAGAUAUUACAGCUAUACAAAUGAGUGUCCAACGCCUUGUGACCCCAUGGACUGUAGCCUGCCAGGCUCCUCUGUCCAUGGGAUUUUCCAGGCAAGAAUACCGGAGAGAGCUUGGAGACUCCCAAGAAAGACCAUGGAUGGGACCAUAAGCAGAAAUUCAAAGUGGACUGAAUCAGCCUGGCCAUUGAACAGGAGCCUUGGAUACAAAUCUGCAAUCUGCGGUCAAGAGAAGCCUCAACUCAGAGGACUCUGCAGGAUGCUGCCCUUCCCCAC